rnacentral:rRNA from 1 species
CGCUAGCGGCAGGCUUAACACAUGCAAGUCGAGGGGCAGCGGGGGUAGCAAUACCUGCCGGCGACCGGCAAACGGGUGCGGAACACGUACGCAAUCUACCUUUAUCCGGGGGAUAGCCCAGUGAAAACUGGAUUAACACCCCAUAAGAAACCAGAGAGGCAUCACUUAGGUUUUAAAAGUUUAUUGGAUAGAGAUGAGCGUGCGUCCCAUUAGCUAGUUGGUAGGGUAACGGCCUACCAAGGCGACGAUGGGUAGCUGGUGUGAGAGCACGACCAGCCACACGGGCACUGAGACACGGGCCCGACUCCUACGGGAGGCAGCAGUGAGGAAUAUUGGUCAAUGGACGCAAGUCUGAACCAGCCAUGCCGCGUGAAGGAUGAAGGCGUUCUGCGUUGUAAACUUCUUUUAUCUGGGAAGAAAUCUCUAUUUUCUAAUGGAGUUGACGGUACCAGAGGAAUAAGCACCGGCUAACUCCGUGCCAGCAGCCGCGGUAAUACGGAGGGUGCAAGCGUUAUCCGGAUUUACUGGGUUUAAAGGGUGUGUAGGCGGGUCUAUAAGUCAGUGGUGAAAUCUCCGGGCUCAACCCGGAAACUGCCAUUGAUACUAUAGGUCUUGAAUAUUGUGGAGGUGGGCGGAAUGUGUCAUGUAGCGGUGAAAUGCUUAGAGAUGACACAGAACACCGAUUGCGAAGGCAGCCCACUGCGCAACUAUUGACGCUGAGGCACGAAAG